rnacentral:piRNA from 1 species
CCCUAUCGCUCAGGAAGCCCAGCACCAAC